rnacentral:rRNA from 1 species
CUACAUUAGAUACCCCUGUAGUCCUAGCCGUAAACGAUACUCGCUAGGUGUCGGCCACGGUGCGACCGUUGUCGGUGCCGUAGGGAAGCCGUGAAGCGAGCCACCUGGGAAGUACGGCCGCAAGGCUGAAACUUAAAGGAAUUGGCGGGGGAGCACAACAACGGGUGGAGCUUGCGGUUUAAUUGGAUUCAACGCCGGAAAUCUUACCGGGACCGACAGCAACAUGAAGGCCAAGCUGAAGACUUUGCCGGAUUAGCUG